GACGAACGCUGGCGGCGUGCUUAACACAUGCAAGUCGGACGCGCGGCGAACGGGUGAGUAAGACGUGGGUGGAGUGCCCUGCACUUCGGGCUAAGAAGGGGCAACUGGGUCUAAUACCGCCGAGUGUGGGAUAGGCCCGCGGCCUAUCAGCUUGACGGUGGGGUAAUGGCCUACCAAGGCGUAGACGGGUAGCCGGCCUGAGAGGUUGGACGGCCACAUUGGGACUGCGACACGGCCCAGACUCCUACGUGAGGCAGCAGUGGGGAAUAUUGGACAAUGGGCGAAAGCCUGAUGCAGCCGUGCGACGUGUGUGAAGAAGGUCUCGGAUUGUAAAGCACUUUAAGUUGGGAGGCGUUACUAACAGAAUAAGCACCGGCUAACUUCGUGCCAGCAGCCGCGGUAAUAC
rnacentral:rRNA from 1 species